rnacentral:rRNA from 1 species
UACGAAGGGGGCUAGCGUUGUUCGGAAUUACUGGGCGUAAAGCGCACGUAGGCGGAUAUGUAAGUCAGGGGUGAAAUCCCGGGGCUCAACCUCGGAGCUGCCUUUGAUACUGCAAGUCUUGAGUCCGGAAGAGGUGAGUGGAAUUCGUAGUGUAGAGGUGAAAUUCGUAGAUAUUAGGAAGAACACCAGUGGCGAAGGCGGCUCACUGGUCCGGUACUGACGCUGAGGUGCGAAAGCGUGGGGAGCAGACAGG